ACUCCUACGGGAGGCAGCAGUCGAGAAUAAUUCACAAUGGGGGCAACCCUGAUGGUGCAACGCCGCGUGGAGGAUGACGGUCUUCGGAUUGUAAACUCCUGUCAUCCGGGAGCAAGACCUGGCGGUUAACAGCCGACAGGGUUGAUAGUACCGGAAGAGGAAGGGACGGCUAACUUCGUGCCAGCAGCCGCGGUAAUACGAAGGUCCCGAGCGUUGUUCGGAAUCACUGGGCGUAAAGGGAGCGUAGGCGGCGUGGCAAGUCAGACGUGAAAGCCCGGGGCUCAACCCCGGAACUGCGUCCGAUACUGCCGUGCUUUGAGGGUUGGAGAGGUAGCUGGAAUUCUUGGUGUAGCAGUGAAAUGCGUGGAUAUCAAGAGGAACACUCGUGGCGAAAGCGAGCUACUGGACAACACCUGACGCUGAGGCUCGAAGGCCAGGGUAGCGAAAGGGAUUAGAUACCCCUGUAGUCCUGGCAGUAAACGGUGCACGCUUGGUGUGAGAGGAUUCGACCCCUCUUGUGCCGGAGCAAACGCGUUAAGC
rnacentral:rRNA from 1 species